CUGAUACUUCUUUCGUUCCAAAAUUCUUGUCUUAGAUUUUUUUAGAUAUAAAUGCAUCUAGAUACUAAAACAUGACAAGAUGCAUCCACAUUUAGAAAAAUUCAAGACGAUAAUUUUGAGACGGAGGAAGUACUUA
rfam:Hordeum vulgare subsp. vulgare, WGS project CAJW01000000 data, contig: morex_contig_2551602